rnacentral:rRNA from 1 species
UACGUAGGGUGCAAGCGUUGUCCGGAAUUAUUGGGCGUAAAGAGCUCGUAGGCGGUCUGUCGCGUCUGCUGUGAAAACUCAGGGCUUAACCCUGAGCUUGCAGUGGGUACGGGCAGACUAGAGUGCGGUAGGGGAGACUGGAAUUCCUGGUGUAGCGGUGAAAUGCGCAGAUAUCAGGAGGAACACCGGUGGCGAAGGCGGGUCUCUGGGCCGAAAUUGACGCUGGAGGAGCGAAAGCGUGGGGAGCAAACAGG